rnacentral:hammerhead_ribozyme from 1 species
AUCCAGAUGAUAAGUCCCAAACAGGACGAUAUACUCAUCCUGGAU